GACGUAGGGACCAAGCGUUGUUCGGAUUUACUGGGCGUAAAGGGCGCGUAGGCGGCGUGACAAGUCACUUGUGAAAUCUCUGAGCUUAACUCAGAACGGCCAAGUGAAACUGUUGUGCUAGAGUGCAGAAGGGGCAAUCGGAAUUCUUGGUGUAGCGGUGAAAUGCGUAGAUAUCAAGAGGAACACCGGUGGCGAAGGCGGGACUCUGGGCCGAUACUGACGCUGAGGAGCGAAAGCGUGGGGAGCAAACAGG
rnacentral:rRNA from 1 species